CUGAUGCUCAAGUCAGUAUUUGUUCAAAAUGCUUAUAAAAUAUAUAACGAUCUUAUCCCCUCUUUUCUCCAUAUUCUAGUUCCUUUAUAGGCAUAAAAUACUUAGGCUCCAAGUCCCACUUUCCUUCUAUUUCUCCAUGUUCCAUCUUCCAUGAUCAUGCCCCUUUAUUCUAACCCUACUCCCCCAAAUUUAGGAAGUGGCUGCUUGCUUAAGCCUUAUUUUUUGCACCCACACAUACUAAUAACAAUCAUAUUCAGCGUCAUUCCACAAUCCCAUCAAUUAAUCAAUUCAUGAAGGAAAAAUUUUGUCCUAGCUAAGAACAUGUAAGAACAUUUGAAUACAUAUGCAAACUAUUAACACUUUAAAGUAGGCAUGCAUUCAAAAACAAUUCAUAAAACCCAUGACUUUCAAAGCCUAGUGUAUGGUGAACCAAAAGACUCUUUAACAACAUUAAAGAGAAGUAAAGAUUUAGAGUUUCUUUACCCUUGA
rnacentral:lncRNA from 1 species